CAAAAGCUGCAUGGUCGAUGGGAAGACAACAGGAGGGUUAAGUUUCCUCUUCAAAAACAUGACUGGAAAACACUUUUCGAGCGAGUGGAAAAGACGACUUUACGAUGCACUUAGAGGUCAUUAAAAGUUUUACAUUUCUGACAUUACUGGAGAGGAAGUGAGCCUUGAGAGCAAUAGUGCCUCCCCCUUAAUAGCCUAUAAGCAGCCUGUUAAUGCCUGUAAAAUCCUGCAAGUCUACAUCACACGGUUUGGCCGGGGAUCUUCUCACAUCACGUUCAAUAUUUAUAAUCAAUUAGCUUAUAUUCUGCAAAUACACUUCACAUAGACUCCUUACUGACCAGGGACUGACCUCACAAUAGCAAUAAAGGCCAAAAGAUGAUCCCAGGAUCUCCCCAGUGUAAACCAGGUUACGAUCACAUUGAAUGUGUUUGACAAAGAAAGGUGAUAUUUACUCUCUCUGAGCGUCACACUUCACACAGGGGGGAAUUCGGCACUGAUCUUCCAGUGAGGCACCUCUGCUGCAGCAGCAUUUCUUUUUUUACCACCAGUUCUAAGACACUUGAAGAGAUCUCUGCUGGGUAUAUCUGUCUCUGGAGUGCUUUCUCUCACAAAAACACUAUUUUUUUUUUCUCCCUUUCUUCUAAUGCUCCCUUUGCCCCCCGCGCUCCCUCCCUCACUUCAUUUCUGCGAGGGACAUAAGAUAAAAAUCAUCAUUGUGGCUUGAGGAAACGCAGAGGGUGUGAAGAGACAGACUGCAGCAGAGAGACAAAGAUGACUUGAUGAAUUGAAAGGCGGCCAGGGAGGACAGACACUAAGCAGAUUUUGGGUUGUAGAGCUUGACCGUGGAGGUACAAAGCCUGGGAUGAUGAUAUGCUAUAUGAACAAUGGUAGCAGCAAGUGCCUGAACCAGCUGGUUAUCCUUUGUUGAUUAGCCGCUUUUUCCAACUAACAACCCAAUUUCAUCAUAUCAGUAAUUAUUAAGGAGUGUACUUUACCAGUGUUGCUCAAGAAAAGUCAUUUAAAAUGUAUAUACCGUAGGCUGUUUUAGAGGUAAUUCACUCAUGUAAUAGAAAAUUGAUAUUCCUGCAAAAUUAAUCUAAAGCACUUGUUAAUUAUUGUAAUAAAAAGCCAAUAUUAACUGUUGACUGACAUAGAGCAUGAACUGCAGUCUUCAAGGAUGCUCAUCCUCCACUUCCUUACUUUUUGUACCAUAUGGGAGGAAGAAUAUAAACAUAAAGAACCGGUCAUCGACUGCCAGAAGCGAGGCUGGAAGGCAAGGUGCAUGUCCACCGAGGUUGGAUGCAGAGGAUUUGCGGGGCAAUCGCUGUACAAAGCCUUGAGCCAGCUGGGCAUCACUGGAGUGGCAAGGAGCAGAGCCCUCGAGAACAUCACCACGGCAGCAGAAAAAAUCCUCGAGAUGGCUCUGGAUUAGGAGAGGAGACCCGUGGGGAGUGUCUGAUGUUGUAAGACUCGAAACACCUGAUGACUCCAGGAUGCGUUCAGAAACUCUCUCCCUAUAGUGCUCGGCUCUGCCUUUGAUUAUCGGAGAAGACAGAGCGUCUGAAUUCAGCCACCAGGCCAUUAAUCUGUGACUGGGUCUGAGAGAUGAGGGAGCCUUCAGUGGCGACCUGCAGGGAAUUAUCUGCUCGCUUCAGCCUGCCGCAGAGACCCACUGCUGGGCUGAGACCACAGCAUGAGAAACACACUCGCCGAUGGCCACCUGGGGCAGCGACUGUGGACACUGAUGUGAAGAGAGAAACUCGACUGAUGCAACACACAGUUUCUUGAAUACACUGAACCUAAGUUUUGUUACUAUUGUAUGCUUUAAACAUGCACAAAAAACAAACUACAUAAACUAAACUUUUAUAAUAAGCAAACUAGUCUCAACAUCUUUUACUGACACAAGAAAGAGUUUGGAGCAUAAAUUAACAUUGACCAGUGAUGUCACAGUCAAGUUUCAGUAACAAUAUUCUGAAAAUGGAAGAAACAUUUUCAAAACUACCAUAAAGACAAA